rnacentral:sRNA from 1 species
AAGGGACACGUGGGUCCCAUAAUUUUUUUCCGUGUCAAUGACAAAUGGGUCCCACACAUAUUUUUUUAAUUCUAAAUGCCACCUAAACGCCACGUGUAAAGAAGACCCGAUCAAUACUGCCAUGUAGACGCCACGUCAGCAAAACCACUCUCCAAAACCGUCAAGGGAGUCAAAUUGCACCGGUUUUAAGAGUUUGGGGGUCGAGAUACCCGGUUUUGUGGUUUUGGGUCACGGAUUAAAUUUCGAUCACUUUUGAGGGUCACUAAGUGAACUUAUUCCUUUCCACGCGGCACACGGCCGGGUGCAUGCGGAAGGGCCGAGAGCUUGCUACUCCUCCAUCCUCCUAUAAAAAACAAUCAACAAAAAUAGUACGGAUCGUGAUGUAUUCUAAUAGUAUAAAUUUGAAUAAAUAUCUAUCUAAAUUUAUAGUGCUAUAAUAUAUCACAUCUCAUAUUUUUUUAUAGACGAAGGGAGUAGCUGGCACCAUUAAUAACCCAACAUUUUCAUGCUACACAUACAUAAACGACAUAGUAGCACACAUAUAUAAAAACGCGGAUAUCACUACGUAAAUAUGUAUAAGCAAAGCUCUUAGACACCUUUAAAUGGACGAAAGCCUAGCUGUACUAACCUUAAUAUGGGGUAGAAUUAUAUUUCAAAGUAUACUCAUAUAUGUGUAAUAUUUAAAGGCAUACAAAUUUUAACCCUAAUAUAUUGAAUCAUGUCCCCACAAACUUAACACCACAUAAACUAUUACAUCGUUUCCAAGCUAGGUGCAUUCCCAUGUCAUAGAGAUCUUCAACAUUAUCAAUUUUAUAGUGAAAAUGUAUUCGCAUGUGUAUACUGUAGGUGCAUCCAAAUUUAAAACCACGGACAAAUAAUUAUAUCAUAAAUUUUUUUAUGUAUUUAAAAGAGACCUUCCUAACACCUAUUUCCAUCCCGGAACUUUUGUGUGGAACCAAAACUUUUGAUCCGGGAAGAAUUCAAGACAAAGAACUCCCGCUGGAACUAAUUAUUAGAAGGUGGGACGUGGACCGGAACUUCUACUCCGGGAAUGAUUCGAGGCGGAGAGCUUCCACCCGAACUUCUAGGUGAGGAGUGAGGACCAAAACUUCUAGUCAAAGAGAGAUCCACUUAGAGCAAGUUUAAUAGUAUAGCCCACUACUAGCUCCAAUUCAUCUAUAGCCAAUCUAAUAGCCAAUUCAUACAAUAAUUGCUUACUAUACUAUUAGUAUAUGGUCCCACCUGUCAUACAUACAUUACAUCUUGGAGUCCGUGCUGCAGCUGGCUAUAGAUCUGUAACCCGCUGCUCUUCUCUCUCAUCUUAUCUCAUUAAAAUAUGCUUGUAGCUGGCUAAUAGUCUGCUAAUAGAGACAUUGGAUCGACUGUAACUUUAAAAAGACAUUAGGUCAGUUUUGGAUAAAUCAGAGUUCAAAUUUGAUGGGGUUUUACCCUAUAUACGAGGCAAGAUCACCCCUCUUAUAAAUAUAGGAGGAGAUUUAUUGAACCCCUAAACAAUCAAUCUACUCCCUCCGUCCACUAAUAUAAGGGAUUUUGACAUUUUGCUUCUACUGUUUGACAGCACGUCUUAUUCAAAAAAAUUUGUGCAAAUAUAAAAAACGAAAAGUUAUGCUUAAAGUACUUUGGAUAAUAAAGUAAGUCACAAAUAAAAUAAAUAAUAAUUCUAAAAAUUUUUGAAUAAGACGAAUGGUCAAACAGUGCAAGCAAAAUAUCAAAAUCCCUUAUAUUAGGAGACGGAGAGAGUACUUCUUUCUCUUUCUAGGUCUAGGAGUAAUUUAGCUUUUUUUUUUUGCUGUUUUAUAUGAGUAAAUCAUUAUCUACUCAGGGUAGCCGAAAAUUACCAUGUAUUGUUUUGUCCUAUAAACCAUCCUGAAUCUCCAGGAAAACCAGAAAGCUAUUUACCACUCGAAUUGGCGAGUUCUUGCUGAUGUCUUGCUGGUCCGAAACUUCAAGAACUUACGGUCCAUCCAGAGUUCGCUAGGGGGCUCAGCUUAUCGGUGUGCUACUGUGUUCUCGCGCUAACAGCAAGUACUAGAAUAACCCUAACAUCCAUAACUUGACCACCAUACUAAAGUUGCUUCCCCGUGUCCGUGUGUAUAUAUCUCAACUAUUAUAAAAAUUGAUAAAAAUUGAAAAUGUUUACUUUGUUACGUCACUCGUAUAGGAGUCGGUUUUUAAUUUCGUUCGCUUUUUGAAAUGCAUAUCCACAUUUGUUCGCUUUUAGAAAUACAGAAGGAGUCAUAUAAGAAAUCUUCUUUAAAAAAACUCGCAUGCUAAUUUGAGAUAAUCGGACUCCUAAUUAACUACAACUCAUGAUUAUAUAUAUAUAUAUAUAUAUGUGUGUGUGUGUGUGUGUGUAAAUUAACUGGUGCUACAUGGAGUAUGGGCUCCAAGAUUCAAAUUGAGUAUAUACCCAAUUUAAAUGAGUAUGAAUUUUUUUUAAAUGUUUAGGUAUGAACAUUAACUUCUUUACUAACAAGUUCAAACAAGUUUGAACUGAGUUUGAACUUUUUUUUUUGGUUAGAUUUUGGUUCUAGGUAUAUAACAUCCAAACAUAUAAUUCGCUAGGUAUGUAAUAAUGAAUUGUGAAAUAAAGUUGAGUUUGAGUUAUUUUGUUUUAGGUAUUGGUAUGAAUCAAAUUCAUAUACCUAGGUAUAUACUCACAAUUUAAUUUUUUAAAAAAAUUUGAGAGAUUUUGUUUUAUCACGGUGAAUUUUAUUUUAACUAAACCAUAUGAUAAUAAUAAGGUUAAAAUAGCCUUCACCCGUUGUAACGUACAAGCAUUUCUUUUCUAGUGGAGUAUAUGUGUAUAGAGCUAGUAUAUUUCUUUGGUCAAAGUCAGACUGCUUUAAGUUUGACUAAGUUUAUAAAAAAAAAUUGUAACAUUUUCAACCCAAGACAAAUUUAUUAUAAAAAUAUAUUUAAUAAUUGAUUUGAUUAAACUAAUUUAAUAUUAUAAAAGUUAUUAUAUUUGUCUAUAAACUUAAUCAAACUUUAAACAGUUUGAAAAUGUCUUAUAACCUAAAACGGAGGGAGUAUAAUGCAACUUGAUUUUAAUUUAUUGGAUAAAUGAUCCAAAGGUAUAAAAAUUUACAACACUAUAUACGCUCUUGCACACAGUGAUCAUUAUACAUGAGCUAUACACUAAAUACACUACCAUAUGUAUUUAAUUUCGUCCAAAAAAAUACACUACCAGAACAUUUCCAGUAUGUAGUUUACUACCGCCAUCUGCGAAUAUUUUGCAUGUACGUUUACCCCACCAGGGCACAACCGCCUCCACACGUAUCAUGAGCUGCCGAAACCCUGCUCAGUGACCUGAACUGACGGCAUGUCGCUCCUGAACCGGAGCCUCUGCACCAUGGGCUUCAUCUUCUCGAUGAGCUUUACGAUGACAAAGAAGAGCACCCUGUACAGCACCACCAUUCCAAUGAGGAUGGCGAGGUCGGCCCACUUGCUGUACCCGAGCUGUACCUGCCAGUAGUUCGUAAGGAUCUCUUCACCGGUGAUCACGGUGCCGGCGCCGGCUUGAUCGUUGUAUUUGGGGAAGGUGAGGCCUAAGAACUCGUUCUUGUAGAAUCCCUGGUUGGCGUACUUGUGGAACGCGAUGUAGUACAUGGGAUACUUCCACACCGGCUUUGGAAGGUCGUUGGGGAGGCGGAAGAAGCCGCCGUUGAGCAUCAUGACGCCCUGGACGCCGGCGCCGGUGAUGAUGCCCAUGAGGAAGUCCGGCACGGCGCUGGCCACGAUCAUCAUGAGCCCCUCCACCACCAUCAUGGUCGUGAAGAGCACCGCCGCGAAGUAGCCGAAGUGUUCGCCGCUGCUCUGGAGGCCGGUCAGGUAGUAGGCGAUCGCGCCUGGCACCACGGAGAUGAGAGCUAGGUACGGUGUAGACGACAGCGUGUUCGCGAUCACGAACGACGCCACACCGUAAUGGCCGUUGAGCCUCUCCCUCCCAAAUAUCUGCAUAUCAUAUCAAAAUUUAUGGAGUGAACAUUUGGUUGGUGUAUAUCUUGGCUGUUCAAAAUAUAUCUUGGUUGGUGUAAAAGUGUCCUUAAUUUGACAUUCAAGAAAAUCAGUGAACAAACCUUCAUGUCCUCAACGAAAGAGGGGAAGCCACCGAUGGCCAUGAAGGUGAGGAAGGCAGCGACGAACAUGAGCAUGGAGCCACGGGCCUGCAGAGAUUUUCAGACGGUCAUGCACACACAAUUUUGCCAAUGAGUAAUAGAUAUUAAACCGCGAACAAAUUAAUAUGGAAGACUGUGCCAGAGCCAUGCAUGGCCAGCAAACCUGGA